rnacentral:rRNA from 1 species
UACGUAGGGUGCAAGCGUUAUCCGGAAUUAUUGGGCGUAAAGAGCUCGUAGGCGGUUUGUCGCGUCUGCUGUGAAAAUCCGGGGCUCAACCCCGGACUUGCAGUGGGUACGGGGCAGACUAGAGUGUGGUAGGGGAGACUGGAAUUCCUGGUGUAGCGGUGAAAUGCGCAGAUAUCAGGAGGAACACCGAUGGCGAAGGCAGGUCUCUGGGCCACUACUGACGCUGGAGAAAGCGAAAGCAUGGGGAGCGAACAGG